rnacentral:tRNA from 1 species
GCAUUGGUGGUUCAGUGGUAGGAUUUUCACCUUCUGUGCAGAAGACCUGGGUUUACUUCCCAGCCAAUGCA